rnacentral:rRNA from 1 species
AAUUUAAAUAUAGGAACUCGGCAAUUCUAGUCUUCGCCUGUUUAACAAAAACAUGUCCUGUAGAUUUUAAUUAUAGGUCUAAUCUGCCCAAUGGUUUUACUUAAUGGCUGCAGUAUUUUGACUGUACAAAGGUAGCAUAAUCAUUUGUCUUUUAAUUGGAGGCUUGUAUGAAUGAUUGGACGAGGGACUAUCUUUCUUUAUUUAAAUUUUGUGAAUUUAAUUUUUUGGUCAAAAAGCUUAGAUUUUUUUGCAAGACGAGAAGACCCUAUAGAAUUUUAUUAUAAUUUUAAUUUUUAAUUUUUGGUUAAUUGUUUUGUUAAAUUUUAUUUUUAUAAUUUUGUUGGGGCGAUAUUGAGGAUUAAUUAACCCUCAAUUAUUUAUUUUCAUUUAUUUAUGUAUUUUUGAUCCUUUUUUAAAGAUUAUAAGAUUAAAUUACCUUAGGGAUAACAGCGUAAUUUUUCCGGAGAGUCCUUAUCUAUGGAUUGAGUUUGCGACCUCGAUGUUGGAUUAAAGAAAGUUUUUGGCGCAGAAGCUGAAAUACUAAGUCUGUUCGACUUUUGAAUCUUUACAUGAUCUGAGUUCAGACCGGCGUGAGCCAGGUUGGUUUCUAUCUGCAAUUUUUUUUUAUACUUUAGUACGAAAGGACCUAGUAUA